AGGCAAACGAACUUUGUAACCCGAUUCAAAAAUCGUCGCGUCAUUCUCAAGUGUUUAUAUCUAAAGGAUAGAGUAUAUGAUCUAAACAAUAUCACGUAUACUGAAACCACGCAGCAUAGAAGAGUGUUUACUAGAAGCUGUGUCACGUCGGUCGUUGUUGAUUCGGGUUAGCAACACUCGCGGGAGUAUAUAUCCGCGUCGUCAGAUGAAGGAUUUAUGUUAUUAACGGAUGGUAAACAUGCUUUUUCCUCAGGGGUUGUGAAAAGAAAUAAACAAAAAACAUGCACUUGGCAAUUGAACAAAAGAAUAGAGCGGUGUUAAUAGAUUUUAUAUAUACGUGUAUAAAAGUUCAGUCUGUUGUGGUCGCGGUUUGCGGUCAGCAGAUCGUUGAGAAAGGAAAUCAAACUAUUCUUUCUCAAUUCUACAAGACGUCUACAUAUGAUGAAAAGAUUUAACACUAUCUUCAGUAUCUUGUGAUCAGACUAACGCCGCCAGUUGACCACUUGACUAACAGGAGGAAACCUAAAUUAAACUAACUUUU